AGAUUUUGGCGCUGUACAACUUGAGGCAAAGCAUUAGGUCAUUACUCUAGCUUCAGGAAUUGUUUCUAUUUGUGAAGUACUCACUCUUUGCUCUGAGGUGAUUUUUAAUUUCUAGAAUGGCAUGUAUUAAUUUAAAGCUCAAAGCCCCACCCUUAACAAUGAUAGCUGCAACUAAAAGACGGGGUGAUUUUUAACAACUUUAACUAGAAGUAGCUGUAGCAAUUACUCCUUGUUUAGUCAAUAGCACAGUUGGUAGUAAAAUUGUCAACGAUUUAACAACCCACCAGUACCUCUUCUAAGCUGCCCCAGAGGCAGACGCAGCCAAUGCUAUCAGUUUAGAUCUUCCAUCUAAACCUAAGAUCUAACCCCAAUCCUGGGGUUAGAACACGGCAUGUGUUUGCAUCUGGCAGAGGAGACAAGGUGGGAGGAUGCAAUUUUCUGUCAAAAUGGGGCCAAAUCUUGGGGGAUCAUAUAAGGAGCUUUAUCUUUUUUUCCUUCUUUCCCUGUGUGAUGUUUGUUUGUCCUGCGGUCCUGCAAAUAAAUGCCAGGCAAAGGCUCAUGUAAAUGAAGACUGUGUGUUCUUUCAAGGAAGGCUGAGUUUACAAACAGAAUCCUUAAGACAAACAGGCCUGCUGGAGCCAUUGUGGGUGGGUGCCUGUGAAUUCCAGCUGAAGAGCAUGUUGGCCCCUGAGAGAGAUCUGCAGCGCCAACGGUCUCAGUUCAAACGGCGUUCCUCCAGCCAGUUCUUCAGAGAAACACCACCACGGAGGACGCUUUCCUUUUCGUUGUUUGAGUGGAGAAUCCAAGAAAUUGUGGACGUCUUCAGCUAUUUUUUGCAACUUCUUCUAGCUUUAUGAAGAAAUGUCUGGAGCCAAAGUUUGGAACAUUUUCUCCCUCCUUGUGAGACACAUUGGAGUUCUGGAAUAACAAACAGGUUACAAAAUGUUCACUGAGUGGCCAGAAAUGACAGGCAAAGUGGAUGAGCUGAAGAGUGCACAUAUUUUCUCAGAAGGCAUAGGCAGAGAAGGACUAUCAAAUAAUGUAACGGUUUCAACAUCUCCACUUGGAUUUAUACAUCCAGUUGAGCAUGAGGCCCUCCGUUAAGAAAAUCUGGGGGAUGCCGUCUACAAGAUAUUCAACAAUGUGCAACACGGUGUGAAAACAGCUUUGGAAACACGUUGAAAUUGCGUUCAGAUCCCACGGUGCAUCAAUUUACAGCAUUUGUGACUUUACUUAUCUGCCCUAGGAAACUCCGUGAGGGUGAAGGCAGGUGAACACGAUUCAUUCUCUUCCAUAUACUCCUAAGAGAGAGACUCACUGAAAAGGGACACAUGAUUGUAAAAUGAAGAGGAGGCCAGCGGUGAGGGCCUCUUGGAAAUUAUGUUUACUGGAAGGACGGACUCUGCUGAUAGAAAUUUGGGACGCGUUGAAGAAGUUAUUUGGAAGACCCAAAGGACUUUCAACCUAAGGACUUUGUAUUCUGCUCACGACGGGUGAGGUGACCACACAUUACAGAGGCAGUUGAGGGUCAGCCUCUGGGAUUUUGAAUCCCAGCUCCACCUUACAAUCGGAGUGAACCUGAGUCUUGCUGGUGGAAGGAGUUUUUAAAUGUGAUACGAAAUAGGAUAACUACGGACCCAAUUGAAAGAGAUACAGAAUCUCAGGGAUUGAAUGAGUUUUGGGGUCCACUGACAAUGGUGACUGACAUUUCUUCCACUUGCAAAGUCAAGAGGAAAGAAACAAGGAAAAACAAUCAGAUGUAAGGAAUCUCACGCCAAAAAGCUUGGAGAGGGAGAGAAGAAAGAGGAUUAUCAGCAGCAAUAUUAAGUUCUGUAGGUCAGAAGUCUGACAUGGAUUGCACAAGGCUAAGAUCAACGUGUCGGCAGAGCUGUGUUCCUUUCUGAAGACUGUAGAGGAGAAACCCUUCUUUGCUCCUUCCAGCUGUUGGCAAAUUCAAUUUCUUGCAGUUAUAGUACCGAUAUUCCCAUUUCCUUGUUAGCUUUUGGGUAACCCAUUCCCGGAUUCUACAGGCUGCCCAUAUUCUUUGUCUCAUGUUUCCCUUCCUCUCUCUUCAAAGUCGGCAACAGUCCAUUCAGUUCUUCUCCCACUUUGAAUUGCUCCGGGAAGCAUUUGCAUGCAUCCAAGGAGACAGAGAUCAUUGGAGGACAUCUUGGAUGCUGGCUACCAUACUAAGUCUUGAAAAAAAUAUUUUUCUGGUUAUCGUUCUUUAAGGAAUUUUGAAUAUUCAUCUAAGGAAACAGCAAUCACAAAAUUACAGUUGAAAUGAGUUUACCUCUUAUUUUGGAAAGUAAACAGCUUGGUAACUAUAUAGGUAUGUUUUUUUACUUGACUUAUAAAGGGAUUUUCAUAACCACUCAAUAAACGUAAUGCUACG
rnacentral:lncRNA from 1 species